ensembl:lncRNA
ACGGAGGCCCGGGGAAAAGCCUUGCUCUCAGAGCUCCUGUUCCAGUCAGGCUUCUGGCCAACCCUCGAGUCACCAUCCUCUGGAAUCUUGUUUCCACUGGGAACUGGCCCAAAGAGAGGAAUACCCUCCUUCAUCUAGAAUUAGCGAGGGGCUAAUGUCUCCAGGGGUGCAUGCACUUAAAGCUUCCUGUGGAUACUUCUGUCUUGAUCGCCCACGAAACAGUUUUCUAAUUUGUUAAGAAACAAAAAGUGUAUUGCCAACAAAUACUUCUGCAUGAAGACUAUUGCUCAUAAUGGAAACAGGACCUCUGUUAAAGCUCAAUGCAGUUCGCAGGCUUUCUAGGCCUGGCAUGCUCCCCUGACCAAGUCAGAUUCUUCUUCAUCCUUAAGGAUGCCACUUCUCCUUUGAGGAGACUUCUCUGACUUCUCAAGCAAUUAACGCCUCUCUGUGUUCAAAUAACAUCUUGAAGGAACCUCUACUAUGUCCCUUAACGCACUGAAUUGUAAUUGUUGACUUGUCUCUAUUCUCCACUGUACUCUUCAGUUCUUGGGAGGCAGGGUCAGCCUCUUUGUAUCCUCAUCCACUAACACAGCACCGGACACUUUUUAAGUUACCGUCUACUGUCUGUGCUACUGGGCGAGGAAAUUCCGUAGCUAAGUAGUUAAGGGGUCCAUGUUUUGGCAGAUCUGCCUCGGAACGAAACUUCCCACACAACCUGGGGAAAAGGGAAUGUCUCUGAGCCUCAUUUGUAAAGUGGAGGAAGCACCUUAAGGUUGCUAUGAUGAGAAAGUAAAAUAAUACCGCAUAAAGUCCAUCACAUAGCAAGCAAGCAAUCAUCAGGGUGUUACGAAAUGGUUCCCCAACAAUCCGAUUUUCGGGUACCCUCACUUUAAUCCUUUAGCACCCCAGCACUCUAAGGG